rnacentral:lncRNA from 1 species
CCUGUUGGAUGGCCCAAUUAUUCAAACCCUCUGCUGCCUACUGGCAUCCUACUCACUACUCCAUUGAUCGUAGAGGGUCUCCCGUAUGUCUACCCACAUCCAGUGAUCUCUGUAGGACUUUCAGUCCGAUGGUGAUUAUUAAUCAAAAUGCUUGAUGGCAGACUGCCGUAUGCUGUGUAGCCCAUCUCGAAACCUAUGUGUGGCCACUUGCUUGAAGAUUGGAUAGCCAGCCUCCUCAUCCUAAGGAGAUAAAAAUCGAUGUAUCCCUGCAAGUAGAAGCAAGCGUGUAUUAAUAAAUAGAAUAUAAAUCUACUAUGAAU